rnacentral:rRNA from 1 species
UACGUAGGUGGCAAGCGUUGUCCGGAAUUAUUGGGCGUAAAGCGCGCGCAGGUGGUUUCUUAAGUCUGAUGUGAAAGCCCACGGCUCAACCGUGGAGGGUCAUUGGAAACUGGGGAACUUGAGUGCAGGAGAGAAGAGUGGAAUUCCACGUGUAGCGGUGAAAUGCGUAGAGAUGUGGAGGAACACCAGUGGCGAAGGCGGCUCUCUGGACUGUAACUGACGCUGAGGCGCGAAAGCGUGGGGAGCAAACAGG